rnacentral:lncRNA from 1 species
AAGAAAUCGCCUAAGGUAAGGGCUUUUCCCCAUGCAAUGUUAGGCUAGAUAUUAAAUUAAUAGUUUGUAAGAUAUUGAUAUAUGUCUUGAUGUCUUAAAAGAAAAAUAUUGAUUUAUGUUUGCCUUAAAGAAUUUAACUAUAAUAUUAUGUUUUAUGAGUAAUAUGUUUGCUUUGAUAAACUUAAUUAUAAAAUUUCAAUUUUUAUUAUUAUA